CCUACGGGAGGCAGCAGUGAGGAAUAUUGGUCAAUGGGCGAGAGCCUGAACCAGCCAAGUCGCGUGAGGGAGUACUGCCCUAUGGGUUGUAAACCUCUUUUGUCGGGGAGCAAACACCGGAGGUGUCCGGCUGUGAGAGUACCCGAAGCAAAAGCCUCGGCUAACCCCGUGCCAGCAGCCGCGGUAAUACGGAGGAUGCGAGGGUUAUCCGGAUUUAUUGGGUUUACAGGGUGCGCAGGCGGAUUUUUAAGUCAGCGGUCAACUCGGGGUGCUCAACCCCAUCCAGCCGUUGAAACUGGGGAUCUAGAGUGUGCGAGAGGUAUGCGGAAUGCGUGGUGUAGCGGUGAAAUGCAUAGAUAUCAGGAGGAACACCGGUGGCGAAGGCGGCCUGCUGGACUGCAACUGACGUUGAGGCCCGAAAGCGUGGGGAGCAAACAGGAUUAGAUACCCUUGUAGUC
rnacentral:rRNA from 1 species